rnacentral:rRNA from 1 species
UCCAGACUCCUACGGGAGGCAGCAGUGAGGAAUAUUGGUCAAUGGUCGGGAGACUGAACCAGCCAAGCCGCGUGAGGGAGGAAGGUACAGAGUAUCGUAAACCUCUUUUGUCAGGGAACAAAGACUGGGACGCGUCCCCGGAUGAGUGUACCUGAAGAAAAAGCAUCGGCUAACUCCGUGCCAGCAGCCGCGGUAAUACGGAGGAUGCGAGCGUUAUCCGGAUUUAUUGGGUUUAGAGGGUGCGCAGGCGGUCUGUUAAGUCAGCGGUCAAAUGUCGGGGCUCACCCCCGGCCUGCCGUUGAAACUGGCGGCCUCGAGUGGGCGAGAAGUAUGCGGAAUGCGCGGUGUAGCGGUGAAAUGCAUAGAUAUCGCGCAGAACUCCGAUUGCGAAGGCAGCAUGCCGGCUCCACACUGACGCUGAGGCACGAAAGCGUGGGUAUCGAACAGGAUUAGAUACCCGUGUA